AUAAUUGUUGAAACUUUGUUUUCUUCAUUGUAAUUAACCAACAAAGAGAAAGAAAACUAAUCAUCAUUUGAUUUCUUCUUCUUUUUUCUCUCAUUGUUUUCGCUUUGUUUUUCUUCAGUAAGUGUUGGUGUUUCUCUACCGAUGCCAUCAUGUUACAACUUUCACCUUCUCUAUCCAGGUAAGUUAAUUGCUAUUAUUAUCAUAAUAAUUCACAAUUUUCUGUAUUCUUAAUUCAUUACUAAUGCUCAACCUGAGCAUCAACAAAAAUGAGACUCACGAACCGAUUAAACUUGAAUCACCAUCAACAUGUUACAAAGCAAUUGUGAGUUUCCACUCAGUUAUUAUGGUUUGCACUUUGAUUACAUUUGUCUUCAUGAUGAUGAUUUACCUGAUAAUACACCAAUGGUUAAUGAAGGAAAAAUUAUUUUACAGAAUAAAAUUAAACUAAUCAACUUUGACUUGAUUUUAUCAACCUACUUUGGGUCAAUGUCAGACACGAGUAACAAGCAACAAUUUGCUUAAUCAUGAUCAUCAACAUAAUCAACAAUAAAAGUGACUUUUAAACUGGGAGACAAUUAAAUUAAUAUAAUCAAAUUGAAGAUGAACAUCAACAAGCAUCAUUUUCUCAUUUAAAUCGUCGGAUUAUCAAUCAAUUAAAAGAAGAUGAUUCUGAAUAUAUUAACCAUCUCUCUCUCUCUCUCUCUUCCUGAAUCUUCAUGUUAAUUGUGAAAUUAAAUUAAACAGAAUGACAUCAAUGUUAAUUUUCAUAUUUUUCUUUUUUUUAUCCUCGUUUACGUUAAUCGCAAUUCUAAUCCGAAUCAUUAAUCUUAAUCUCUUUUUUAUCUUUAAUUUUCUCUUCCCUUUUAGUUUUUAUGGUUAAUCAAAUGAUUUAGACGAAAGUGAAUUCAUGUUAAUGAUUAACUUUCACAUCGAUCAGAAUGUGAGCUUGUUAAUUGUAACCACAAAUUAGAAUUACAAUUUGUUGUUACUUCUAAUUGGUUCAAAUUGUAUCAUUUAAUUAAUAUAAUAAUCGCAAGGGUGAUUUGUUAAUGUUAAUUGCUGCUGAUAAAUGAUUAACAACAACAACAGUUAUAAUUUAUCAACAUGGACAACAGAUGAGAUGCUGGGAAUUGAUAUUCAUUGAUUAUACAAUUUGAACCUGUUAAUUGUAAGCCACAAUUGUAAACUGAUGGACCACCCAAUAGAACCGGUAUCAUGAUGACCACCGGUCAAACAACAUGAAGUGUCUGCUGGUCAACUGAGGAAGUGUCAAAUAAUCAAAGUUGAUGAUAAUAGUAGACAACAUACUGCGUGGGCUUUUUGUGAGUUAAUAAACGUGAUUAAGAUUCAACUGUUUAACUUAAUUGUUAAUUGAAUACACUCAAGAUUCACCUUGAUUAUCAUUUGUUUAAUCAUGUCUAUCACCAAGAAUCAGUGAAAACAAAACAAAUCGGAACCAUGUGUUAAUUAAUUAACAUGGCUAAUUAACUGUUUUCAUUCAACUCAAUUCAAUUAUAAUGCUUUUCGUUGUAUUUAUGACAGAUAAUCAGUUAAUCAUUUGAAUAAUCUCACUAAUUGACCAAGUGUGAAGCCGAAUCAAGUUAACCAAUAAUUGAUUGAUUACCUGAUUUAAUGGAUAUGAAGAUGAAGAUGAAAAUUUUGAUGGCAACCAGUAGACAAUUAAGUUAAACAAUGACAAUCAACAGCACGAAUGAUAAUCAUGAUGAUAUUUCAAGGCGCUCAUUCAUAUAAUAAUAAUGAUAAUAAAUUAAUUAGCAUUUAAUUUACAAAACCAUUAAUCAUAAUCUAUUGUGUUGAUAUAAAGAUGGAAUCAAUCAACACAAUUCCCUAAAAGGAUAACAAUUAAAUAAUCACCAAUUUACAGACUAAAUUAACGAAACCAUAUUAACCAAAAAAUUAAGACUAAACUGAAACAAUGGUAACAUCAUUGUGAUGAUGAUCCAAAUUUAACUCACUGAUACAAUCAAUAAACGCUAAUCAACAAGUUAAUUUUGUCUAAAUUAGUAACAAUUAACCUGUUGUUGCAAUACCCACAUGUAAUAUUAAUAGUUAAAAUUAACCAGCUGAAGAAAUUGUCUUCAAUUGGCAACAAUUAAGAUCAUUUUCUUUUAAUUACUCUGUUAUAUAUUUAUGAUGAUUUGUAAAUCGAGAAAAAGCUUUUCGUACAAUCAGUUAAUCAUCAUGUUAAUCUCUAUAGAAUUGAAUCGAGAAUUAAAUGAAAAGAAGAAGCGAAUUCGGUAAAUGAGUUUCAAUUGUAGUUCGAAAGUGUACAUUUCAUCACGAAUAAUUCACAAUUUUGUUACUUUUAUUCAUCAACAAUUUACAUCAACCAGUUAAUUACAAUAACUAAUGAUAGUAAAUGCGGAAAUUACUUUAUUAUUUAAGAUAUUAUAUGAAAAUCGGAAAAUUUAUCAUGUCCGAUUCACGAUCAACAUCAUCAAAUGUACAAUAAUAUUAACUGAGGACGACAAGAGGUCAGUUGAACAAAAGGCAAUCGUCAAAUUGUUUUCAAUUAUUAUAAUCAAAAAGGAAACAAAAUUUCAUCCAAUUUAUUUAACUUCAUCAACAUGAUUAACAAUUGAUUGGUUGUUAAUCAACGAGAUGAGAGAGAUGAUCAAGUAAACAAUUGAAAAACGAGUAUAAUCAAGGAUUAACAUUUAUAUUCUGAUGGGAUCAAGAUUAAAGGAGGAUAAGGAAUCGUAUCAAUUAACAUCAUCAUCUUUAAUCAUCCUCAUCAUUGGGAUGAUAAAUUGAAAUGAUUGAAACUGUAAAGGAAAUGAUAUAAUUAUAAGCCGAUUUUAAAUUGUUAAAUCAAAUAGCCUAAAGGUUAAUGAUAUUGUUAUUUAUUAUUUAUGGUUAA